ensembl:snoRNA SNORD24 Small nucleolar RNA SNORD24
UGCAGAUGAUGUAGAAGAAUAUUUGCUAUCAGAAAAAUGGUGAUGACAUUUGAACCACCAAAUAAAUAAAUAAAUAUAGAUAAAGAUAUGGUGCA